rnacentral:rRNA from 1 species
UACGAAGGGGGCUAGCGUUGCUCGGAAUUACUGGGCGUAAAGGGAGCGUAGGCGGGUUAUCAAGUUGGAGGUGAAAGCCCAGGGCUCAACCUUGGAAUUGCCUUCAAAACUGAUAACCUAGAGUAUGAUAGAGGUAUGUGGAACUCCGAGUGUAGAGGUGAAAUUCGUAGAUAUUCGGAAGAACACCAGUGGCGAAGGCGACAUACUGGGUCAUGACUGACGCUGAGGCUCGAAAGCGUGGGGAGCAAAC